rnacentral:rRNA from 1 species
UAGGGAAUCUUCCGCAAUGGGCGAAAGCCUGACGGAGCAACGCCGCGUGAGUGAUGAAGGUCUUCGGAUCGUAAAACUCUGUUAUGAGGGAAGAACAAAUGUGUAAGUAACUAUGCACGUCUUGACGGUACCUAAUCAGAAAGCCACGGCUAACUACGUGCCAGCAGCCGCGGUAAUACGUAGGUGGCAAGCGUUAUCCGGAAUUAUUGGGCGUAAAGCGCGCGUAGGCGGUUUUUUAAGUCUGAUGUGAAAGCCCACGGCUCAACCGUGGAGGGUCAUUGGAAACUGGAAAACUUGAGUGCAGAAGAGGAAAGUGGAAUUCCAUGUGUAGCGGUGAAAUGCGCAGAGAUAUGGAGGAACACCAGUGGCGAAGGCGACUUUCUGGUCUGUAACUGACGCUGAUGUGCGAAAGCGUGGGGAUCAAACAGG